rnacentral:rRNA from 1 species
AUUGAACGCUAGCGGGAUGCUUUACACAUGCAAGUCGAACGGCAGCGCGGACUUCGGUCUGGCGGCGAGUGGGGAACGGGUGAGUAAUGUAUCGGAACGUGCCCAGUAGCGGGGGAUAACUACGCGAAAGCGUAGCUAAUACCGCAUACGCCCUACGGGGGAAAGCAGGGGAUCGUAAGACCUUGCACUAUUGGAGCGGCCGAUAUCGGAUUAGCUAGUUGGUGAGGUAACGGCUCACCAAGGCGACGAUCCGUAGCUGGUUUGAGAGGACGACCAGCCACACUGGGACUGAGACACGGCCCAGACUCCUACGGGAGGCAGCAGUGGGGAAUUUUGGACAAUGGGGGCAACCCUGAUCCAGCCAUCCCGCGUGUGCGAUGAAGGCCUUCGGGUUGUAAAGCACUUUUGGCAGGAAAGAAACGUCGCGGGCUAAUACCCCGUGGAACUGACGGUACCUGCAGAAUAAGCACCGGCUAACUACGUG